CAACCCUCAAGCCCAGCUUGGUGUUGGGUGUCACCUGGCAAUGGUGCACCUUAAAAUCAGUGGCGGUGCCAUCUGGCUUCAAGCGUAGUAAAUCUUUCGCUUUGGAGGUUUGAGUGUGCUUGCCAAAUCAACCCCUAAUUUUAUCAAA
rnacentral:misc_RNA from 1 species